rnacentral:snRNA from 1 species
AUAUAUUUUAUUACAAAAAAAUCUGUUCUUAUCAGUUUAAUAUCUGAUACGUCCCCCAUCGGGGGACUACAUAUUAAAUUGAUUUUUUGAACAGGGAGUCGGAAAUGGGGCUUGCUCCGUCCGCUCCACGCAUCGACCCGGUAUUGCAGUACCUCCGGGAACGGUGCAACACUU